UACUGUAGAAAACCGGUCAUCUAGCACAGUUACGCAUUUUUUAAAACUUUUUCACAUACAAACCAAAGUGUCACACCUCAGAGUUAGCUAGUUAAGUUACUCUAGCUAACGUGAACGCAUGCCACUGUUCUUGGGACCUCACUGCCAUCCAUCCCUCCAGCUGUCCCUCCAUCACAGUUGCCUCAGACUCUAAGCCAGACCCCGACAGCAUUCUCGACUGUACCACACCCCGAAACUGAUAGAGAAGGUG